rnacentral:rRNA from 1 species
AGCGAACGCUGGCGGCAGGCCUAACACAUGCAAGUCGAACGAACUCUUCGGAGUUAGUGGCGGACGGGUGAGUAACACGUGGGAACGUGCCUUUUGGUUCGGAAUAACUCAGGGAAACUUGUGCUAAUACCGAAUGUGCCCUUCGGGGGAAAGAUUUAUCGCCAUUAGAGCGGCCCGCGUCUGAUUAGCUAGUUGGUGAGGUAACGGCUCACCAAGGCGACGAUCAGUAGCUGGUCUGUGAGGAUGACCAGCCACACUGGGACUGAGACACGGCCCAGACUCCUACGGGAGGCAGCAGUGGGGAAUCUUGCGCAAUGGGCGAAAGCCUGACGCAGCCAUGCCGCGUGAAUGAUGAAGGUCUUAGGAUUGUAAGAUUCUUUCACCGGGGACGAUAAUGACGGUACCCGGAGAAGAAGCCCCGGCUAACUUCGUG